rnacentral:rRNA from 1 species
UACAGAGGGUGCAAGCGUUGUCCGGAAUCACUGGGCGUAAAGGGCGCGUAGGCGGCCUGAUAAGUCGGGGGUGAAAUUCUGCGGCUUAACCGCAGGACGGCCUUCGAGACUGUCGGGCUUGAGCACGGUAGAGGCUGGUGGAAUUCCCGGUGUAGCGGUGGAAUGCGUAGAGAUCGGGAAGAACAUCGGUGGCGAAGGCGGCCAGCUGGGCCAUUGCUGACGCUGAGGCGCGACAGCGUGGGGAGCAAACAGG